CCUACGGGAGGCAGCAGUGGGGAAUAUUGCACAAUGGGGGAAACCCUGAUGCAGCGAUGCCGCGUGGAGGAAGAAGGUUUUCGGAUUGUAAACUCCUUUUAUCAGGGACGAUAAUGACGGUACCUGAAGAAAAAGCUCCGGCUAACUACGUGCCAGCAGCCGCGGUAAUACGUAGGGAGCGAGCGUUGUCCGGAAUUACUGGGUGUAAAGGGAGCGUAGGCGGGACGGCAAGUCAGAUGUGAAAACUGAGGGCUCAACCUUCAGACUGCAUUUGAAACUGCUGUUCUUGAGUGAAGUAGAGGUAAGCGGAAUUCCUAGUGUAGCGGUGAAAUGCGUAGAUAUUAGGAGGAACAUCGGUGGCGAAGGCGGCUUACUGGGCUUUUACUGACGCUGAGGCUCGAAAGCGUGGGGAGCAAACAGGAUUAGAUACCCUAGUAG
rnacentral:rRNA from 1 species